rnacentral:tRNA from 1 species
GGUGGCGUCGCCCAGUCAGGUCCAGGGCGCUUCCCUGUCAAGGAAGAGGGCGCGGGUUCGAAUCCCGCCGUCACCG